GAUCUGGCUCAGGAUGAACGCUAGCUACAGGCUUAACACAUGCAAGUCGAGGGGCAGCGGGAUUGAAGCUUGCUUCAAUUGCCGGCGACCGGCGCACGGGUGAGUAACGCGUAUCCAACCUUCCGUACACUCAGGGAUAGCCUUUCGAAAGAAAGAUUAAUACCUGAUGGUAUGAUGAGAUUGCAUGAUAUCAUCAUUAAAGAUUUAUCGGUGUACGAUGGGG
rnacentral:rRNA from 1 species